AGGUGUUGUUGUUGUUGUCAUUGUCACUAUUGCCUUUGUCUUUGGACAGUGAUCCAGGAUAAAAGCCAUGAAGCUACAGGUGGAUGAGAGACCAGUUGCAGGAGUGCAAAGACCAACUACGGCCAGAGAGAGUAAUGGAUUAUCCAGAAGGAUAAAGUGCUAUUUCCUUGAUGACACUGACACUUUCAAGAAUGUGAGUGUCUUUGCAGGAGGAACAGGCUUCUUGAGGUACUGUCUUUGGAAUAAUUCACUGGAUUUUAUCAAAUAUGUGAACACAGAUUUUCAGUUAAUAUUAGAAGCUAGGCUGGAACUGAUGACUGUGGCCCCCAGGCAGUCUUUAUAAGAUCUAUCCAAAGAAGUGCAAGGAUCCUAUUGUAACAUAUGCCUUGUCUUCUUCUUUUCUCUUGGAUAUUCUCCGGAGAUUAAUGAAACUUGAAGUAUGAUGUGAAAUUGAGUUUUCCAUCCAAAAGGUCCAGCACAGCCAUAAACAUGAAGC
rnacentral:lncRNA from 1 species